rnacentral:rRNA from 1 species
AGUGAACGCUGGCGGUAGGCCUAACACAUGCAAGUCGAACGGCAGCACAGUAAGAGCUUGCUCUUACGGGUGGCGAGUGGCGGACGGGUGAGGAAUACAUCGGAAUCUACUUUUUCGUGGGGGAUAACGUAGGGAAACUUACGCUAAUACCGCAUACGACCUACGGGUGAAGGCAGGGGAUCUUCGGACCUUGCGCGAUUGAAUGAGCCGAUGUCGGAUUAGCUAGUUGGCGGGGUAAAGGCCCACCAAGGCGACGAUCCGUAGCUGGUCUGAGAGGAUGAUCAGCCACACUGGAACUGAGACGCGGUCCAGACUCCUACGGGAGGCAGCGGUGGGGAAUAUUGGACAAUGGGCGCAAGCCUGAUCCAGCCAUACCGCGUGGGUGAAGAAGGCCUUCGGGUUGUAAAGCCCUUUUGUUGGGAAAGAAAAGCAGCAGGUUAAUACCCCGCUGUUCUGACGGUACCCAAAGAAUAAGCACCGGCUAACUUCGUG